AACCCAAUCGGAAGAACCCAGUCAGUUCCCAGACGCCAAUCGCCGACGAACACGGAACUCCGAAGGUCACCGCUCAGGCAAAGACAAAUCGGCCAGAGCGGCAGAAAAGCGAGGCGCUUGUCGCGAGGCGCAGAAAAGCGACGAGUUGUCCUGCGGGCGCCGAAGCCCGCGAGGCAACUCCUGCCGGACAGAGGGAACAGCUACAAGGCGUCUCACAACCCUGGCGUGAGGAAGAGCGCCGCCAGCGGUGAUCGAGCACACGUGCUGAGACCUACGAGCCGCCUUCACACAGUUGGCUGCUGGACAGGAAGCUCGUCGCUUCUGGGACGACUACACCGGAAGAAACGCCCAUGCCCGGCUUCUUCAAAAGCAACGCGCGGACGGUCUACCACUUUAGUGGGCAGUGGAGCAGCGCUUAUGACAGUAUGCUUCAUAUGCAUCAUUUCUUCGCUCCUCAGGACGUGUCAAGAAUGGAACCACCUUCCCGCCGAGUUGAUUGCAAUUGAAGACCAAGCACAAUUUCGUACGGCCAUAAUCAACACCAUCGCUUCGGGCUUCACAUGUGUAUGACUACAUCACUUGCUGCCUUCUUUGCUUUCUUUGUUAUGUAACUUUUUUUUACCC